CACGUAGGGCGCAAGCGUUGUCCGGAAUUAUUGGGCGUAAAGAGCUCGUAGGCGGUCUGUUGCGUCCGCUGUGAAAACUCGGGGCUUAACCCCGAGCCUGCAGUGGAUACGGGCAGACUAGAGGUAGGUAGGGGAGAAUGGAAUUCCCGGUGUAGCGGUGAAAUGCGCAGAUAUCGGGAGGAACACCGGUGGCGAAGGCGGUUCUCUGGGCCUUACCUGACGCUGAGGAGCGAAGGCCAGGGGAGCAAACGGG
rnacentral:rRNA from 1 species